GGGAAGAUUGGGAGAAAGAAGGUGCGCAGUGAAAGAUCUGGGAGGACAAGCAUGGUCAGAGAUAUAAAUGAGUACACAGUGUGUGGCAGUGGAAAAUCAGGUCCAUGAUAUCUGGAGGAUUAUUUAAUUAAGUGCAUAUGACUAGAAACAGAAGAUUUAAACCACAGGGAAGGGGAAAGUCUCAGUUUCCCAGUGGGAAACAGCACUUACUCCUGGACCUGUCGUGCCAUGGCGUAUCAGGCUAUAAAGGUGACAUUUUUAGGUGAAUUGGCCUAUUCAUUCCUCUGGGGGAAAAGGCAGGGCCAGGAAGAGUGAAAAUGAAGGAGAAGCGCUUGCCCUGGACAGAGCAGCGAUGGCCUGUGUCCUAUUCCCAGAACUGUACGCAUCUCGGGAUAUCCACAGAUUUUGGUGGACUAACUCUUUCAUCUUCCUGCUCUGGAAGAAGCAAGGUGGAGAACCUCAGCUCUGAUGGAAAAAUUUGGAGGAAACUCCUUGAGAUUCCCUGAUUGGACUCCUAUACUGCUGUUAAGCUUCUCCUGCAGAUUUUCCUGAUUGGCUUAAAGUUACUCAAAUACUGUGAUGACGGGUGAUCUUAGAAAAACCUAGCUAGGUUGAUCUUGGCCUUAGUUACAAAAAAUUAGGAGGAACAGCCCUGAGAGCUGUGUGUGUUUACAGGAGUCCAUAGGACUCUUCCAUAGUUUUUUAAUCUUUUUAAUGAUUUCAUUAACAAAAAUUUUUAAUGAAUCCACCAUCGUUCUGUUCAGGGGAGUUAUACCUGGUAUGAAUUUGGCUCUUGUUUCUUUUUUCUAACAGAUUAAACACUAAACAACAACAUGCAAGAGAUGGAAAGUUUGGUAGGUCGUGAGGGAUGACCGUAUGUAAAGAAGAGGACUAGGGUGAGGAUUAUUUCUGCAGUCUGAUCAAAUAAUUACAUAGCAGUAUUUGUAUGUACCAUGAACACAUGUUCAUGUGAUGAAAUAUGAAAGCUUUGUUUUGAUACAACUCUGCACUGGGUGUUUUUACAUCUACAUGUGUAAAGAAGGGUAGCUACACAAUAGGAGAGCCCCCAGGGAAUGGUUUCUUGCAUAGAGGAUUGACUCCUCAAUAGAGAUUGACUCUUUUUUUUUUAAAUGGCAUAAAGUCCCUUUUUCUUAGACAAAGCUUCCAGUAUCAGUCCCUUGACUUCCUUGUAAAUCUUUUACCUGCUUUUAAUCUGUCUUAAUUAAUGAGUAUUUUAAUUAGUGUCUUAAUUGCUUGUUUUGUGAGGUGACUGGAAAACUGACAGGCACCUGUAAAUUACAUUUUUUAUUUCAGGACUAUUAUAAAAUUCCUUUGAAGUGAAUGAGAGUCUUUCCAUUGGCUUCAAGGGGUUUUGGAUUAAGCCCAUAAUGUACAUUAAGUUUGUGAUGCAAACUGACAGGAAUUUCA